rnacentral:tRNA from 1 species
GAAUCGGUGGUUCAGUGGUAGAAAGCUCGCCUGUCACGCGGGCGGCCCAAGUUUGAUUCUCGGCCGGUGCA